GACGAACGCUGGCGGCGUGCUUAACACAUGCAAGUCGAACGGAAAGGUCCGGCUUUUGUGGGGUGCUCGAGUGGCGAACGGGUGAGUAACACGCGAGUAACCUGCCCUUGACUUUGGGAUAACUUCAGGAAACUGGGGCUAAUAUCGGAUAGGAGCUCCUGCUGCAUGGUGGGGGUUGGAAAGUGUCGGCGGUUGGGGAUGGACUCGCGGCUUAUCAGCUUGUUGGUGGGGUAGUGGCUUACCAAGGGUUUGACGGGUAGCCGGCCUGAGAGGGUGACCGGCCACAUUGGGACUGCGAUACGGCCCAGACUCCUACGGGAGGCAACAGUGGGGAAUAUUGCGCAAUGGGCGGAAGCCUGAUGCAGCAACGCCGCGUGCGGGAUGACGGCCUUCGGGUUGUAAACCGCUUUCGACUGUGACGAAGCGUGAGUGACGGUAAUGGGUAAAGAAGCACCGGCUAACUACGUG
rnacentral:rRNA from 1 species